ensembl:lncRNA
GUUGAACUGAAGAAAGGUCUCACACUUAAGUCAUUUUUUUGUAACCUUUGAGCAACAGAAAUUAACAAAAAUGCCACUGGGGAAAAAUAUUCGCUGGUCUUCAGCCUCAGGAAGAUUAGAAACUGGACACGUGACCAGCAUCCUCUCUGAACUCGGUGGUACAGUGGAGAGGACAGGAAACAGAUCCAGGCCAGGAUGUCGGGUUGAGAAAACCGAUGAUUUCUCAGUACCAAGACGAGUGGGUGUCAAUGAGGAUAAAAAAGAGCAGCCUGAAUGGUUGGUGCGAGAGCUGCUGAAACAGAACAGGCGGCGACACUCUGUUACACUUGGAGACACAGCUCAAUCCAUGAGUCAAC